AUCGUUGUUCCUCAUGACGCGUCACGUGAGCUCGCUGCUGUGCGUGCUAUCGCUGGCCGUAGUGGUGUGUGCGUGCGUCCGACUCAACUCCAUUCGAACGGUGAUCGUGCACGAGGUCCCAGGGGAGCUGACGGUGAGUGUUCGCGUGGCCGUGAAGUUUGUGAAUGUCUGUAGCGAGCUCACAUCAGUGUUGGUGUGUUUGCAUGCGCAGCUCCAUCAGUGCAUAAGCGACCUGGAGUGCAGUGAGGGAAGCUACUGCCACGCCCCCUCAAGAGGCCCUGCCCACUCCCGCUGCCAGACCUGCAGAAGGAGGACGAGGCGUUGCCAUCGAGAAGGGAUGUGUUGUCCUGGCAACCGUUGCAGCAACAGUGUGUGCGUCCCUGACGACAACACGAUGGCCAGCGAGCGAGUGGCCCCUGAACACCCCGACGUGACCGCCUGGAGGAAGAGAGACAGAACGGACACUAGGACAGUGUCCGGUAAAGGUCAAGUGGGCGACCCGUGCCUCGGCACUUCGGAAUGUUCUGACGGCCUGUGCUGCGCUCGCCACUUCUGGACGCGCAUCUGCAAGCCGGUUUUAUGGGAGGGUCAGGUGUGUUCCCGCCACGGAAGGAAGCGGCAGCGCGGCCUGGAGCUAUUCCAGCGCUGUCCCUGCGGAAGAGGACUCGCCUGCCGCACCAGAGACCACGUCCCCCCUCCCUCGUCCACGCUGCUGGCGGCUGCAAAUUCCAAGUUUGCGGCACAUCCCUCCUUUGCGCCGCAGACCAGACUGCACGUGUGCCACAGGAAGUGACUGUGGAUAGCGUCGCUAUGCACGUGAACGUUCACACGCUUUUCGCUGUGGUGUCCAAACGGGCAAAAAAAAUUCUAGUUAAAAUGUUGCUGUGAUGUCAUCAUACAAUCGCUUCCUGUUCAUUUCAAAUGUCUGUUCCUGAAAGACGGAAAUGAUGAUUAUCUUUGCCACCUUUAGCAGUGCUUACAAUGCUAAUGUAUACUGUAUCUGUAUUUCAUUUGACAAAUCACAAUGAUGAAAUUACUUUUAGGACACUAGCGCUUGGCAACGUUAGCUAGCUGGCUAGGCAACUUGUGGUAAUGAGCCGAUGUGAUGUUAACAAUAAACCAGCCAAGACCCAACUCAGCUCCAUGUUUGUAAAUCAGAAGUAGCAUCGAGAAAGCAACCCAAUCAAGUGAGGAAAGACUUUCUAAAGGUUUUCCUAAAACUUUAUCUUUAAAAAUUGGUUGGAGGUGCCAUCACAUGAUUAUACUAUACAGGCUAAGGCAAACGUGAAGACGCACGGUCGGCACAGUAGUUUGACCCUGAGACGUAGAAAAGACGAAAAUGUUGGUUUAUUUUCUCUGUUUAUCUGAUGGUGCAGUUGGUGAAGGACGGUGCCCUGCACAGUCCCUUCCCUUUCACCUGGAAGCCACAUCCCUUGUAGUUGGCCACUCCCCUGGCAUCCACCUGCAGGCUGGGCUGAAUGCGCUCCCAUACUCUCUGUUUGGACCGCAGCUCAUGGUCAGGCUCACCUGGCACAAGCAAACGUACGAGUCAGCCUUUCUACCUGUCACUCGUAUGUCUCUAACUAGACAUUACCGGGAAAGUCCAGGCAAGUGACUCUGUCUCCAGGGAUGGAGCCUGUGGGUGGGGCCAAUAGCUCAACAGUGUGGUCAGACUGAACGCACCACAGGAGUCGGGCCUGUGAAGCCACGCCCUUCAGUUUGCAGGCCUUGACAUUGCAUAGCAACACAGCAAGAGCGCCAUCGAGCUGAUGAAAGAAGAGAAGCACGGAAUGAAGCAAAGAUGACGAGAGCAACAGAAGAAAAACAAAACGUACAUCCUCUCUUGCUAGCUUGCUAACCACCGUGCGGGGGGCCUUCUCUCCCACGUCUACUUCCUGGACAGUCAGAUUCUCUGCCAGCGGGUGGCAGCCAACGCUUAGGAUCCGGCCAACUCGCAGGUCAAGGCGGGACACAUCAACUGGAAGAGCCGCCUCCAGGAGGGGAGUAGCAGUAGGAGCUGAAAAACAGCCACCUUCCUACCUGGGAUGAAACAUCUUGUCCGGGUCCAUGUCGCUCAGCUCUCAGCACAGUGCGUCUGCGGGCUGACAGAGUCGUUUGUCCAUCAGCUGUCCGAGUCUGUCCUCAGCUCCUGUCCACGCCUCUCUACUGGAGGUGAGAGGUCAAACUCCUCCUACAAUGACCAUGCAAAGUGUGCUGUCAGCAUGAUAUCGAGUGUUUGUUUUUCAAGUAUACAGUACAUAGUACAGUAAAUAUGUAAGGUACAUUGUCACGGUGGCGAACACGCAGCAAAAGCCAAACACAAAACGGAUCCAAAAACACAGAAACGCCAUAAAGCCCACACAAAUGCCUCAAUCACAUAAACACGGCAGGAUCAAAAACUAAUGCAAAAAAAUAAAAGACUGCAAAUGUAAGUUUACACACUGUAAAAUCCAAUAGCACUCUCAACUCAGACAAGUAAGUAGAACAAACUUAUUUAAAAUAAAAAAGCUCAUCUCACUUGAGUCUACCAAGUAAAACGUAAAAAUCCCUUGUGGUCAACUACUAUAAGUAUUAAGUUCUUGUUACUUGUUUUUUUCAAGGCAAUCCGUUUGCCUGCUUUUUUUUAAAGUAAGGUUAACUAAUGGAUUUUAAAAUGCAGGACAAAGCGGAGGUAAAGGUUACUCAGGCCUCCAGGGGCCCCAGACCUGUGGAACGUCCAUCUUUAAAGACAUAAGCGGCAUUCCCAGAAGAAAUUUGGCAGAGUAAAUUGUUUUUUCGUCAUACCUUUGUAUAACACUUGGCUGUGAAAAUGGGUUGCUCGACUGUGAAAGAUUCCAGCAUACCCCUAGUGAGGAAAAACGGCUUAGAAAAUGGAUGGAUGGAUGUUGUGCACAGAGAAUACACGCCCCCUCUGGCUGGCAAGAGAACUGCAGCUGUCUCCUCGUCAUUCACAAACACUAAAGAACACAACGCAGAUGUGCAAGUAAUUACUAUGGACCGUUAU